UAAACUAGGAUUAGAUACCCUAUUAUUAUAAAUGUGAUUAAAAUAAACUAAAUUAGUAUUAGUUAUUUUCUUGAAAAUUAAAAAAUUUGGCGGUAUUUUAGUCUUUUCAGAGGAACCUGUCCUGUAAUUGAUAGUCCACGAUUAUAUUUACUUUAAGUUUAAGUUUACAUAUCGUCGUAGCCGAAUAUUUUAAUAGAAUUUUAAUAUUCAAGAUUUUUUAUUAAAAAAUAAAUCAGAUCAAGGUGUAGCUUAUGUUUAAGAAGAGGUGGGUUACAUUUAAUUUAUUUUAGGAUAAUUUAUUUAAAAAGAAUUUGAAUUUGGAUUUGAUAGUAAUUUAAUAUAUUUAUUUAAAAUGAUUAUAGCUCUAGAAUAUGCACACAUCGCCCGUCGCUCUUAA
rnacentral:rRNA from 1 species